GAAAUGGGCUUCAUUUUUUAAGCUUCUCAUUACCCGCAGGAGUCCCACUGCCGUUAGCACCUUUUUUAGUACUCCUUGAGCUAAUCCCUCAUUGUUUUCGCGCAUUAAGCUCAGGAAUACGUUUAUUUGCUAAUAUGAUGGCCGGUCAUAGUUCAGUAAAGAUUUUAAGUGGGUCCGCUUGGACUAUGCUAUGUAUGAAUGAUCUUUUCUAUUUCAUAGGAGAUCUUGGUCCUUUAUUUAUAGUUCUUGCAUUAACCGGUCCGGAAUUAGGUGUAGCUAUAUCACAAGCUCAUGUUUCUACGAUCUCAAUCUGUAUAUACUUGAAUGAUGCUAUAAAUCUCCAUCAAACUGGAUAGUUAUUUAUAAUUGAACAAAAGCGAGUCUGAAUGGGUAUACUUAGUCGUGGAGCAUUCCGAGUAUUUGCUUUAGGGAUCGUUGUCCUGACAGCCCCUAACUUUGGCAAAGACUACUCGCUCGCUUUAAAAGCAACUCCAUUGAGUCCUGUCAGAUCGUUUAUAUAUAACCUUUAUUCAUAUAUGACCUUAGAAAGGUUCUGAAAGAAAGAAGAGUUCCAUUCGAUUAUCCGGGCUCAUUGCCUAGUCCCUCUAAACUAUCUAAAGCCUGGGGAUUCUCCUUACCAGAUGAUCUCCAGCCUGCAUUGUGCCCCUCUCGGAUACCCUGCAGGGUCGACGUAACUCUUACCUAGGUAGACUGGCUAUCCAACUGAAUCGAGAGCCCAGCUCCCACUACUUCUUCGUAAGUGAGGUGAGGUACUUCUUUUGAAUAGGCAGGGUUGUUCUAGGAUGACUCAAGUGACGAUGCUGACACCAAGGUUGCUUGCAAAGCAUCGGAUAUGCGAAAGAGGGAGAAUGUGCUACAUCGGAUAUUGCUGUAGUUGAUGAAAGAGCUGUAGUUUAUGCUAAAGCAUCGGUUACGAAUGACCCAAUCUAUCUAUGGUAACCACCCUUACUUUUAGUAGAUGGAGAUGCGCACCUAGGAAAGACGGAUGAAAGAGAACCUGCCCUAAGAGAUUGGCAUAGGCCUGUGGGCCCGCUGCGGUAGAAGGCCUUUGCUGGCCUGUCGAUCUAUCCUGAUUAACUUACUGACGCUAUUUCUGACUAGAGAGAGGGCUUAGAUCGGAGAGGAGCAGCUCUUUUCUUUUUAACAUAAAGCAGUGAUGAAUGGGACGGAGCUGCUACAAUCAAUAGCUUCAGCUGCUUUAUGUAUUGGAGCAGAGGUGGCAGUUAGCAGCAGGAACAGGACCAGCAACUAGGGUUGUUCACAGAGCAGCCGUCUUUCCGUCUCAAGCGGAGAAGACAUCAAAAGAAUCUUUAUCUAUGGCUCUACCAGGGAAUCCUAGUUAGUUAUAGGGUUCUGAACCAGAGCAGAGAUAGGAAAAAGCAUAUCCUAUGUAUACUGAACCUGAGCUUGCUUACCAUAGGACUGCUAUUGGAUAGGUUUACCUUUUUUCUCCAACUCGCUUAUUAUAGUGGGAAGCUCGGCUGGUAAGGGAUUCUAUUAGGAUAGGACUCCAACUGUAAGAACUGGCCUUAGUACUGCAGCAAUUGGAAGGAGAACUGAAAAGACCUUCGACCAUUUCAUUUGGUAGCACGUUUAGCUCGUUAUGAAACGUAUUGUUAGAACUAGAAGUGUUCUUAGUCCAGGUAAGAGUCCAAUGCUAGAUUAAUAAUGUAAAAUAUGAGAUAUCCUAAGGUAUUUAAUUGCUUGUUUGAUAGAAUAAGGAGGAAAGAAGUCUGUUUCCUAUUGAUAGUGGCACUCCCACAGGCUGGCGGGGAACUCCCAUAUGGAUGGCUGAGAAUAAUUCAUAUAUAGGCUAUAGGCUUGAAAAGAGUGCUAGCUUUCGUUAGGCCUUUCUUUUCCUAAAGAUAGGAUCCCACCUUCCCUAAUUCUGAGCAAGAACAUCUUAUUCAAUUCAACAAGUGCUACCCACUAAUCUAAUCUAAUCUCAGUCGAAUGCUCCUUAAGUUUAAGGGGUAAGUCCUCAACGAAAAGCCAUAACUCUUAACCGUUCGGAUCCCAUAUACGCAUGGGCUACUUCACUCCUUUCUUUAUUUCACGUUUUCUCGGGAAAAUUAGUUGCAAAUAGAUUUCUGCCCAUAAACGGACAUUCAAAUCGAUCAACUCGCUAAAACCCCGUAUUUUUUAUUGCAAGUCAAUUUUUGCCUAUAGACGGACAUUGAAAUCGAUACAGUUUCAUUUUCCCGGGAAUUUUGCGGAAAGAUUGGCUGAAUUCCUAUCCCAAGAGCGGAUUCUGAUUCAGUAGUUUUCUUCAGGUUGGGUCGGCUUGAGCUUGAGACAGAUGUGGUUCUUCUGGGUCAGUGCCAAUGGGAACUACAUAUCAAAGAGACCGGGUUCCAUUUAGUUCCAAAGACUGGUAGGGAUAGGGAUCAAUUCAAUCGACCUACUUCCCCUUACUAUAAAUAUAAAUAGUAAAACUACUCUGUCCCAUAGUGAGAGUGGAGUUCCAAGCGACCAUUUUCUGCCCAGCUUUCUUUCCUUUUGUGAAAGCAUAUGACAUAGUUAAAGAAAAAGAAGAGAAUGCAAGCGGAACUUCAUCCGUAAGCGGUGUUGGAGGACUAGCAAUUGAAUCAGCUGUUGAUGCAAUAAAAGCUGUGAUCCUAGGAGCUGCACAUGAUGGGGAAUAGCCGGUGCAUCGAUAUUCUGUAAGUGUUCCAUAAACCGGAGGAUUUCCGCUUUGAGAUCUCAAAGGAGCUCAUCUGAAGCCCCUCCCAGGCCAAGUUCCCCCACUGAAAAAGCUAGAGAAAGGUUGCUCAGCCCCGACUUCCCUAGGCCCUUCGUUCAACUCGCCUUUUGGCGACUACACUUCCUACCCAAAAUAAUAGAUAGAAAUAUCGCAAAUAGAGCCAUUGCAACACCCAUCAAGGGAGUAGUUCCCCACCCCGGAGCUACUUUACCAUAUUCUGAAUUUAAUGGUUUCAAUAAAUCACCUACAACAGUUCGUCUUGGACCAGAUCUAGAAUUAUCCUCAACGGUUUGCGUAGCCAUAAAUACUAUUUUUUAUUCAUUGAGAUCUGUUUACUUUGUAUAUCAUUCCGCUGUAAAUAUAAGGAUCUUAUCCUAUAGAUCUAUUGUGGUCUUGAAACUUUAUAAUUCUAAUAAUGGAAACAGCAACCCUAAUUGCCAUCUCUAUCAGCUAGUUAGCUAGCCGCUCUUUCCCUAGUCUUAGCUAGUCUCAUUUUCCUUCGGCUUCUUGUAAGGCUCACUUCACUUCUCUUGAAAGACAAGACAGGGAAGAGGUUACUAUGUAGCUAACGGGAGAGGUAUGAAGAUAGAUUGCUCACUUAUAGGCUCAGGAACUCCAACUACAAAACAAACUCUGAACUACACUAUUUCAGUUCCUUUCUCUUCUCUUCCCGAGAGUCUUACUUCACUGUCGACUUAGUAAUCAAUUCCAUUCCAUAUUCCCCUAUUUUCCUGUGAUUCGGAAUUACAAAGUAUACUUUAGCUUUAGAAAAUAGGCUUGAGCAGAGCCCUUCCAGUUCGAGUCUAUAUGUUGUUAAUUCCCUUUGUUGCUGAACCUCAUCCGUACACUUACGUACUCAACUAAACAAGGGCAGAGUCUGAUCGAUGGGAGUUCACUAGGGGCACCAUUUCAGAGAGGAGAGAAUCCAUUUCAAAGGGAAGGACUGAUUGAGUAUGAAGUAGAAAGAAGAGACUAGCUGAUGUGCUUACAAGCCUUUGAUCCUUUCUAUCUCUCUAUAUAUAGACUAUGGAUUUUGAUUCAAUUUAGAUGGUUCAUUCCUCGACUCAAUCCUAACCUAAAGGCGAAGUCGUAAUAGUCAAUCUAACCUGUAAGCGGCGCGGUAGAAGGGAAGUGAGAAUUCUCAAACUAACCAGCUAAGGCGGAAUAGUCCGAUCGAACCCCGGGAAUGAAGUCCUUUGUCUGGUAAGAAGUUGUUACUGAAUAUCUGUCCUUACUUAAUAAACAAGUAUGGAAGGUUCUCUCAUCGCCCGAGAUGUACUAAAGGGAUAGGAUAAACCAACCAAAGCAGAAGAAGGGAAGAGAGCCCCAGUGAAGUAAACCGAGGGCACGAAGCAAGCAAGGUAUGGUGGGUGCCAGCUACUUUCACUUGUUAGGAGUAGGGGCUGAAAAGAGCUCUUUGUAUAGGUUGGGUUUGCUGGGCUUUGAUGCUUACCUUAUUUUUUUGAAAAGGGGAAGGUUUGAUAAAGGAGCUUUUAAGCCCUUUUGCUGGAUUGUUGGUCUGCAGCCCCGCCCUAUAGAAUAGAAUGAAUCCAAUAAGGAGAGGCCUAUGGAUGACCGAGCCACUCUUAUACUACUCCUUACCUCACCCCCUUCUCACUUAAAGGGCGAAGUCGCUGAAGCGAGUCUAAAGGCCAAAGAGUGAUCUUUGAACGUUACUACGCAUCCUUAUUAAUUAAUAGGUAUAGUGUAAGGUAGGUUUGUUUGGGUAUAGCAGGACUUGAACCUGCGACCAUUAGGUUAAAAGCCCAAUGCUCUACCAACUGAGCUAUACACCCAAAAAAAAUAUAGAUAGUAAUAUAGUAGUAAAUAAAGAUGGGUGCAGAAAAGAGGGCGGCCCCUCUUCUCAUCAUAUUAAAGGGGCGCAGCUCUGUAUGAGGCUCGUACUGCGGAGCAAGCGAAGAAUAAGGGCGCGCGUUAGCACUCCUGCAAGAAAACGGCCUUACUCAACAAGCGCACCUUUAUUAGUAAGUUGUUUCCACUCAUUGAAGAUUCUAUCUACAAAAGAAGGUCAACGGGGGAUACUCAAGUUGCUCUCACUGACACCAUCUACGAGAAGGUGAGGUCGUCUUUCUUUCCGGCCGCCAUACGGUUCGUUCGCCUUAAAGCCUUAAAGACGGAGAAAGGGAGGAGCAGUUAUCUAUGUAAUUACGGUCUUUGUUGGCCGUUGUUCCGGUCGAGCACUCUCUUUUCUUUGCUUUGUUCAAUAGAGUCUUACCAAACAAGACUGACUUCUGACCAACCCGCGAAGGGUUGUGAAGUUGGACCAGGUACGAAGAAUGAAUCUAUAUCUGUGUACGGUACGGAAGUUGCUGGCCGGCGGCCGCUCAACUGUUCGAGCGCAAUACAGUGGUGGUUGGUUCCGAUUCGACAAGGGUAGAAUGCCUGGUCGAAGGUCCAGUACAGUAGGUAGCAGGCGUGUUUUGGCUCCCGAGCGAGAACGAUAAAUAGGCGCUGCACCAUUCUUGCUGCUAUGUACGUGAACCUUGACUUGAGAGAUUCAUCCAAUGGAACCCACACUCAAAGGAGGACCACAAGCUCGGGGCUCGACGAAACAGAAAAUAUCAGCAUUAAGAAACUGACUUAUUGGGGUUAGCAGUGAAAGAAAGAGCCCGGCAUUCAUUCAUUUAUUCAUUCAUAUUCAUAGCUUAGUCUACUAAAAUCAAAGAGGGACCAGCCUCAUCGUGGUAAUUAUCGGACAUCUCUGAUCGUUCACCUCUAAUGUGACACGUUCCCUCCCAGUUAUAUGAUCCACGGGAUCAGUCGGCUAGAGAGCGGGGCUAUUCUUCUUCCGGGGAGGGAAAGUCGUCCCCUCUACUGAUCGAACCCUCAGUUCGGGGGUCUUCGUCAACAUGUUUUGAGGCUCCAGUCUUCGGCGGGUCACCAUUACUUGACUUAGAAAGGCGAACAUCUAGGCAAGGGAAAGCGCAGUGCGCCUGGUGCAAAUGGCUUUCUUUUUUCAUGAUAUACCAAUCAGAAUGGAGGACCCUACCUACGUACAUGAUUGAUAGAAGAACUACGUAGGGGGUCGGUCAACUUGAUGCGGGAGAGGCAUGAGUGCAGUUCGAUCUUGUGGUGUAUUCGUUUGUAGUGAGUAGGGCCUCUUUUUGAUCAGUUCGCCUCCGCUCUAUUGAAAGGUCUCCAUUCCUACGGCGGUUUUGUCAACGAACGCGUCUCGGGCCGGAUUGACUAACCUAACCCUUACUUAAGGGGGCCUUGCCAUAGUUGGGUGCUCUGCUUUAGUGUGAUUUACGAAGGCUAGGCUAGUAAUACCAAAAAAAAUGAAAAGAGAUCGGGGUCGAUAGUUGGCAAGGAACUUGAUCCCCCCAAAACACAAAAGGGGCAGCUGCGGUCGAACUCGAAUUCUGGAAAUCAAAUAAGUCGGGGCCCUUUUACCUUACCAAGUCUACCGGAUAGAAAUUAGCAGAUCAGGUAUAGAUACGGGAAAGGCUUUCUCCCUAAGUGGAAUCGGUGGAAUGCCCUGCUUCCGGCUAAGUAUACAGAGUUGGGUCUACCGUUCGUUCCACCGUUACCUCUAUUCUAUUCCGAUCUUUCUUUUCUCCUUUGCUUCCUUGUCUCGUCUAUCCUUCUCUGCCUUCAGCCUGUCUUUGAGCUCUAUCCCGUCCUUCCUUUGGCUUGCCCUGAGGAUUGACUCUCCAAAGUCGAUUUGAUCACUGUUCGGUUCAAGUCUUCAUCGAUCGGGUGGAUCUUUGAGGGGGGAUGGAAAGGUGGGUGAGUCAUGGCUGUGGACAGAGAGAAAUCAAGCGGUAGUCUUCCGGUGGAAUAGAUUUCUAGUAAGUGUCUUCUUUCCUUCUCUUCUAGUAAGCGCCGUCAGGUCUCUCUUCUUGGGAUAUCUUGAUCACCAGAAAGGAUAGAGAUCUUAAGUAGACAUGCUUUAGGCAUCGAUCAUCUUCCUAACUACAUGGUACUCCCCCUCCCAUUACUGGAACCGACGAAAGGGGGUGGAAUAAAGAAAAUGAGGAAGUGUCCCUUAGAGAAAGAGAGUCCGCUCUCUCAUUGUCUGAUUGCAUCGUAGAGCGUCUGCACCAAUUGCUUGGUUGCAGUAGCAGCCCCCUUUCUCCUUCUUUCAUAUGAUAAAUUAGAAAGAUUUUAAAUAUAGUAAGUGUAAGAGCGACUUCAAUCUUUAUUCGCUAAAAAAGAGAAGCCGGGUUCCGAGAAUAGUAGUUUCAUCUGGAUUGGGUUAGUGUUCAGUGUACCUAUGCUUCUUUCGAUCUGCUUUCUAGUUAUGAAUAAGACUCGUCUUCAAGUUCAAGUUAAUAUCAUAGAUAAAGAUCAGAAGUGAAGAAAGACAGAACGAAUCUCUUAUCGCCAUCUUUAUCUUUCUAGCAGUGCUCUCAACUAUUAUCUUAUUAUAUAUAAUACAUAUCUUUCUUCUCUUCUGCUCUUUGCUAUCCCACUUCUACAUAAAACUGUGCUGCAACCUUAAUCCUAAGAAGACGGGGUAGGACUGGAGUCUGAGGGAUCUCUUUCGAAUGUGGUGUGCCCUUGGCCGGGGCAAAAAGACCAAAAUGAUUCUCUAAAGUGGUAGCUCUACGAAGGUUCCAUCUACAGAGCAGGUGGAGAAGGUCGGCGGGCUUCAUCCAAGUCCCUAUCGGAGGUUCCAUAAGGUACAUUCACUUUGUUGGGAGGUGUAGACGCUUAAGCUGGGAACGGCAGUAAGGUCCCUAUUGAUUGAGAUUUUUCACUUCUUGCUUGGCUUGUAAGGCUGUGGCAAUAGGAGGUUGGAGCGAUGCAUGAUGGCCGGGAAAAGACGUAGCGCUUUAGAGAAAUCGGGAUUACACCCUUUUUUAUAUCCCUGUCACAGAGUUUGGCCAGAAAAAAGGUCACGCUUUGGCCUAUCAUGAGAUAAUUAGUUUAUGCACGUGGUGGAGCGGGCAGUCUUAUGCCCUGGUAAUCAAAGAAAUGAGUAAAACGGCCCAAAUAGCCAAAUCGGUAAAAAUGGCAGAAGAGGCUUUUUAUAAGUCCAUUAUGACGGUUCAGGAGGCUAGAACCGUUGACCUUGAGGAUGAAGCAUAGCGCUGCUUAAGUUAAGGAAGAGUUCGCUUUUCUUUUGCCGUAGGAGUUGCCGGCAGGUCUACCCCCUCGGAGACGGGUAGAUCAUCAGUCUGACUACUAAUCAGGCCAGCGGAAAGCUAGAUACGGGCUUACGACUGUUUAGGGAAUUCAAUCAAUGUAAAUUAGGAUUAGGCUACCCUACGACUUGUGACUUAUAUCAACUAACUCUAGACUCCUCUUAGAGAAACUAUGUUGUCAUGAAUUCCUAUUGUAAGGGGCGGUAGCGUAAUCCCCAAAAGGAAAGACAAGAUUUUAGAUAUAGUAAGGCAAGGCAAAAAGGGCGGCAAGCAGGUCUUUCCCUAACCCUAACGAGGACAAAACUAGCUAUCUUCUCUAAGGCGCAUUUCUGUCCAUAUAAGAGUCUAUUCUAGCAAACAAAGGGAGACCCAAGCAGCUUUUUUGUCCUAACAACAGGGGAUUCAUUCGUGAAAGCAGUUCUGGCAUAUGCCUCUUCCUAGUCUCUUAGUUAGCCAAUAAAGGUAUCAAACGAGAACGAGCAAAGGCGGUUAAAGAGAAUAAAGGAGGUUCUUUUCUCGUAAAGCACUAUUGCUAUCAUUCCUUGCCUUACAACCAAGCGUAGACCCGGACUAAAGAAUAGCAGCAAAUCUCUCAGGUGGAAACCUCUCACUGCCAGCCAAGUUUAGAAGCACCCCUUUAUUUCAAUAAGGAGUGUGAAGGAGCCGAAAAAAGGCUGCUAUUAAAACGUUGAGAGUUAUAGGAAGGUUUCCAUACUACUGGACUCCUAUGAUUUCACCCUGUAUACAAAUAGCACUAGACUACUCAUACUCAUCUGAAUCAUACUCAUCAUACACAUCUGAAUCAUAACUCUUAGUAACCCAAAAGACUUAUUAUAACAGUCAAGAACUUCACACCUUUCGGGGUCUAUUGCUCCUGGUCAAGAAACAUUCGAUUUUUCUUUUCCGAGUUUGAGAGGUUUAACUUCCUUUCCCUGUAAUGAAAUCAUAGGAGUAGUAGUAUCUUGAUCUUGAAAGAAAGGCAGGCAGUUUCACUUUCAGUCUGCAUUUUCUGAGCUCUCCGAAAAGGAGUUUAGCAAUCGAUGUUAACUCUAACUCCAGAACUAGAUCUCGUUACAACGAAAUUGGAAGCAUGGGCGGUGGUCGGAUGAACAGAAUGUCCGAGUAAGGAGAACUAGCCAAGCUUCUGAACAAGCGAAGGAACGCCUAACCAUCUGUGAGAUCGGAGACUUCGAGAGGCUCCCCAGUCCUCUUUAACGCCACUCUUUCCGAGUCUCGUUUGAUGAAAUGAAGCUUACGAUUCUCUUAGUGAGAAGCUCAGUUCCGCUUUAAGCCCGACAAGCGAAGCGGGCAAGAGAACUAGGCUUGGUGUGGCUAGCUCUAAAGCAGGCCCUAGUAUUCCUACUGAUCUACUUCUUUCCGUCCCUUGCUAAAAUAUACAUAAUCAGUAAAGAACUAGAGAUGGUACCACUACUACUGACUUUCUUACUGUUGAUGCCCCAUUCAAAAGAAAGGGGUGAAGCUACGGAUGCCAUUGUUUCCACUAUAGCGGAUGUAGUUUGUGUACCUGUAUUUAUACAAUAGCUCAUGUAGCGAGGGAAGUUCCAGUAGCUGGAGAGGAACUCCCCGAUAUCCCAGUAGUUAACGCUUCUCCGCUCGGCAAUCCGUUAAAUGAUAAAUAGACUAGACUCUUGAAGCAGAGCACCCACAAGCUUUGAAAAGAGAGGAAGCAAUGAGUUACGGAGUCACCAGAAGGGUAAUUAGGAUCUGCUGCUGAACCAGAUAUCCCGCCCCUUACGACCAGUAAUCGAUAUCCCUGCGAGCCAACAAAGAAUGAAAGAAGGAAAGGAGGACGCGAGGAAAAGAAGCGGGAAAUUGCGUAGAUACAGAGGAAAGCAAUCCCUCUUAUCACGCUCAUGCCCCUUAGCUUCACCUAGAUCGAAUAGACAGGCCAAAUCAACUCGGUCUUCAUUAGUAUGCUUACUCAUUGCUGUGAAACCAAUGGUGAGGAUUGGUCACAUAGGUGACCUACAGCUGGGCAUAUACACUAAAAACCUAAAAACAACGACUGGAAACACUCCAUUCAUCAUGGUGUAUGGUGCUGAAGCUAUCAUUCCCCGGUCACCAGUCUACGAUUGGCAGUACCGCAUCGAUUGGGAGACAUAGAAAGCGAUCGUUUACACAAAUUGAUCCAUCCCGAAUAAGAUGGCAACCGCCUGUGCUAGAGCAACAGCGUCAAGCUUGGCAUGAUAGGCAGUUACGUCAUAAACCUAUUUUCAAAGGCUACCAGACUUGGGGUUAGCUACACGGAGCAUCUCUUUCUUACCCUUCGGGUAGUCACAGGGAAGCUCUCUAAUAGAUCACUUUAGACAAAGGAAAUGAACUACAACAAAGGACUUCAACUUAAGAACAAGGAUAACCAGGAAUCAGAGCAGAAUUCACCCAGCAGCUCUGUUCUCAGUAGGAAAGUCGCGUGGGUUCAAAGUCCUAAGCUAGGAGGAAGACCGGCAUCUGAGAACUCCUCUAAUGCUGCUAAGGAAGGACUUGGCCGGCUAGGAAUCCGCCUGACCUAACGACCUUCCUUGUGCGGUAACAAGUCGGUGGCGAAGGUAGUAAUCCCCGGCACUCCUUCUCUUCUGAGAAUUUGAGUUAUUCGCUGCUUCCUUACUCUGAUUUUGACUCUGGUUAGCCAAAGGGCGAAUACGAUGUCGGAGCUUUCCAAUCUCUUUCUUACAAAGAAAGACAUCCAUACGUAGGGUGUGGUCGAAGAUCAGUGACUGCUUCCUUUGCUGAUCAGCGAUCAUGCCCCUUAUUCUAGCGGAGGAACAGCUUCACAUCGGAUUCAUUUCCACAAGAGUGCUCUAAUGGCAAAGAGCAGUAUCCACUUGAAACUCGGCAUUACUUACUUAUCAUACAAACCUAGCCCGUUAUGGGGCACUUUCAGCCGGUGGUAGGAGUCCCUAACUUGGAGCUUAGGCCACUAGAACGCUUCUUUUAUCUAGUUUAGGAAGGCACUCAUCUCAGUCUCAGGGACAUGCCCAGAAGAAACUGCUGGUGUCAGGUUUUCGGGAAUUGAAUCAGGAUUGUCUUGUGCCAGAACUGAUUGCACUAGGAGAAGAAAGCCAGUUGUUUAUUCCCAUUCCCUUUAAGUCAGGGAUUCGUUUAAAGCCUUUCGCUAGCAUUACAACAAAACAGAAAAAAUGACAUCAGAUUCAUUAGCUGCGGACGCAUAGGAAUUCAUUCUUACUGUAGCCACACAGCAGAGAAAAAAUGCGAUUGAGAAUACAAGAGCGACGAAUGAGCGAAGGGCUUCCCUACGAAGAUGCUUUUGCCCCUGGACAAGAAAUGGUUAUGAACUGACAAGGUCAAUGCACCUCCUUCCCUUUGGAUAGGGCUUGGGAUUGACAAAUCAAAGGCCCAAGAACGAGCCAAAGAUCAGCUCUUUUCACAAGCCGGAAUGAAGAUGAAGCUUACAACGAGACGAGAAAGAAAAAGUCCACCUUCUGCAGAUGAUCCAGCGGUAAAAGAUUCUCUUUCAACCGAGGGGCAUUAGUCAAUCAAUGAAAAGGAAGAAGUAGUUUAGUUCAAGAAUUUGGCUUCCCUUCCCGAAUGUUGGUUUGGAGUUGACCCAGUAGCAGGAGUUGAACACAGCUGAUAUUGAUCCGCUGCUACAUCCGCUGAAAGAUCUGUUGCCAGUUCUGAUCGAUGGGGAUAGGCAUGAAGGCCAAUCAUUCCGGUUAUCUGAGUUUCCCUCGACAAUGCCGGAGAUGUUCUCAGAUGCUCUUAGAUCGGGGGUUGAGGUGGCAUAUCAUAAGGAGUAGCCAGUUUCGAGAAAACCGAAACUAAGGAGAAAGAGAACUACUCGACUAAGAAGUCAGUGUUGGAGGGGGACUAAUCCCUCUCUUCUAGCCAAUACCAGGGAAAGACUUUCUAACCAAUUCAAUUAAUAAGCUAAAGAGAAGUUACAGAAGUACGGAAGUGACAGAGAAGUCAACCUUCUUUGCCAAGGGACUAAACUAUCUGCUCUAUCUGAUACUGAACUAGAUGCCGCAAAAGUCCCAACUCUGGCUCAAUAAAAAUAAGGGGUAUCCAUAUCCAUAAUAAAUAGAAGGAAGGGCUAUGGCUAGAAGUAGAAGGUCUAACUUCCAUUGUCCAUGCAUUAGCCACAAGGCACCCGUAAGAGUCGAAAUCAGCAUUUAAGUUCGAUCCCCUAAACAGGAAAGGCGUCAUCAUCCGGCUAGGGCUGAGAUCUCGAUGCUGCUAUGUCUCAUUACCUCUUUCGUGACUUUCUUUUUUUAAGAAGCGCAAGACCCUCUUUCUUUUACGGUUCUCGUCUGCCAACGGCAUUGAAGCAAGCAGUCUUUGUCCUGUCUAUCCAGCCGGGGAAGAGCCAAGUCCCUUAGAGAGGGGAUGAGAUCAGUCAAGUCUAGGAGAAGGGAAGGUACCGCCUUUUAGUUAGUAACAACUUGGUAAGGGAUCAAACCCUGUCAACUAAAAGCUAUCCAAAACGUACUCGUGAGGAAAGCUAGCCCCCCUGUUUAGCCGCUUACUCUUUAAUAAGAUAAGAUAUGCGCGUGCAAUUGAGAAGGAAGCAAUCUCACAUCCAACAAAGCCCGGUGUAAAGUUAAAGUAGAGGUCAAGAGAUGGAUGCCUUUAUCUAUCGGGGUCAGCUAGAAUCUAUUUUUUUCUAAAUAUGAGUGGAUGCCCACUGACUGUGACUCAAAGUCGGAUUACGCUUUCUUCAGACGGGAAUCUGGGGCUUAGGAAGCAAAGGUGCCACAGGGAAAGAAGUGACUCCCGGGGGAGAAGUCUUGUUCCUAGGGCAUUGGGAUAGGGGAUGGCCAGAUUAGGAUGGACAAGCAGAAGGUGAAGGCAAUAGAAGAGUGGGGAGUCCCCGUGACCGAGCUACGAUCAGUUCUUGGCCUUUUGAACUCGUCGGUUCAUCACUGGAUAUUCUAGGAAGUCCACUCACUGAUAUUUUUUAGAAAGCCUUGGCAUUGGCUUUAAGUUAAGGGGAUAGGGCAAGUGUCAGCGAGCCUUUGAGGACUUGAAGAGGGCCGUGACGGAGGAACCUGUAUUGAGGUUGCCAGACUAUACUGUACCUUUCGAAGUGCACACUGAAGCAUCAGACUAUGCCAUUGGAAGAGUAUUGGUCCAGGAGGGACACCCAGUAGCAUAUGAGAGCCGGAAGCUCAACGAGACAGAAAGGCGCGGUCCCAGUCCCAGAGAAAGAGAUAACAGCCAUGGUGCAUUGCCUGAGGACGUGGAGGCACUACGAGCCUGGAUCGGCUCCCGGUUUAUAUAGGGAAUCUUAAAGAGAAGAUACCGCAGCUGAUUGUCCAACUAGCGGAAGCAAGUCGGGAACUGGAGCUGGAGCGAAAGAAGAAGGAGCUCGCAGACGAGACAGUGCGAAGAGAUGAGAUGAUUAAGUCUGCUUCACGCUUGGCUACCCGCAUCAAGAACGCAGUGGAACGGAAGAAAGAAAGAACAGGAGCUAUUCUUGAGGAUUGCUGAAAGCAAGGCCAGCAGGCUUACUGAAGUCUUUCAUUCCCUGGUUAGCCAACUGCGGGAAUGAAAAGAACCUUGCUUGGCUAGCCGUUUCGACCUUAUCCGUCGCCCUCUUCUUUAUCAGCCAGCCUGGCGACGAGUUUAAAUCUAAAUCAUUCUGUAACCUUUAGAAUUGCAUUUCUUUUUUCUUCUGUCUCUACCUAAGUAGAGUAGAGCCACACCCUCUAUGAGCCCUUUCCUUCUUUAUUUCAUGAAAGUAGGCUUCUUUUUUCCACCUUAAAAGCUUUUGUUGUUCUUCCUAUCGCCCUUUCUUAAAUAUGAAAUAGAAAUGGGCAUCUUCUUAUUCUUCAGCCUGAAAGGCUCUUCCCUGCCUAGCUCCCCUGAAAAAAAAGGAACUACCUUGCUUCGGCACACGAUUCGGAAAACAGCCUCCAAUUUAGCUUUUACCUCUCCAACCGCUGCCCUAACGAGUGGGAAAAGAAGGGGGUAUCUAUGUAAAUGAAAGGCAGAGAUGAGAGCGACAGAAGAGGAGUGGAACGAAGCCUUAACUUAAAGGCAAGGCACCCGAAGACAAAAGCCAUUGGCUGAACACCAGCCAGACAAAUCCUUAAUUCGAAAGACGACAAUCAAAGCAUCACGACUCGAGGAACAUUCCUCAAGGGAGUGAACCAGUGAGAUCGGUAGACAACCCGUAAAAGGAAGCCGCUAGGCAUCAAGCCCUAUUAUCUUAAACCUAGGGAGGGUGGCCGUUGUUGGGUGGUGAGUUGCAAUGAAAGAGCUGAGAAGUUGUGGAUGUACUACAUAGAAGGUUGAGACUUUCUUGGCUCAAGCUGGAACACUUUCUCUGUGCCUACAUACCGAAUCAGACAAGUGAAUCAACCGGUGGUAUGUUCUUCUUCACGUGAUCGUGCUCUAGACCUAUGGGAUUCACAACCAAGGGGGCUGCCCUGCCAGGUCAUCGGGCGUACCCUAUCUUGAAUCUGGGGGAAUCCGUCUCGGCAUCUGUCCUACUGGCUGUUGAAGGUGCUGGCUGAUGAAAGACAUCCCCAGAAUGCCCCCCUUUCGUGCCUAUCUCACUUGUUUACAGCUCUUAUGGGUCUUUUCGCUGCUUUCACAUGAUGCAAUAUCUGGGCCUCCUAGACCUGCUCUCUCGCCCAAGCCUCAUAGCAUUCAUAUUCCAAGCACUAAGUAUUCCCUGCCUGCUCAGAUGCGUCAAUCCGCCUAUCGGUAGCCUUUUCCCCGCAUAGAUAACUUAAAAAAAGUUCUUGGUAGGAGGGAACUAAUACUUUAGAUAAGGUUCAUUGCUAUUUGCUCUCCCGUCACGCUAGCACUUUAGAGACUAUCUUAGCCCAGAGUGAGGGAUCACAAUAAGGAUUACCAAAAGUAGGCAGUACUGCGGUACCAGUCCACGACUACCAUUUCUGUAACUUAACUUCCGUGCCCCCUGUCCACUCAGUCUCCUUUUCGGACUUCAGGAGCAUUGAGUAAAGGUAGGCACGGGGGCUGGAAGAUCUACUCAUUCAAAGGGAAAGCGCACCAAAAAUUUUAUUUUCACAAUAAGAGCUAGUGGAAUGGACCCUUUCCUCAUGCCAGCGGGGGAAAGAAAAGAGGCCCACUACGAGAGGAGAGAGUGAUUCAGCUGCUAACAAGCGCAGGUUUUUCAUGAAAUGAAUGGUUCUUCGGGAAACGUAUGUUGAU
rnacentral:lncRNA from 1 species